rnacentral:rRNA from 1 species
UUCGGGGGGACAGGGUGACAGGUGGUGCAUGGUUGUCGUCAGCUCGUGUCGUGAGAUGUUGGGUUAAGUCCCGCAACGAGCGCAACCCCUAUUGUUAGUUGCCAUCAUUCAGUUGGGCACUCUAGCGAGACUGCCGGUAAUAAACCGGAGGAAGGUGGGAUGACGUCAAAUCAUCAUGCCCCUUAUGACCUGGGCUACACACGUGCUACAAUGGUUGGUACAACGAGUUGCGAGUCGGUGACGGCGAGCUAAUCUCUUAAAGCCAAUCUCAGUUCGGAUUGUGGGCUGCAACUCGCCUACAUGAAGUCGGAAUCGCUAGUAAUCGCGGAUCAGCACGCCGCGGUCGAAUACGUUCCGGCCUU